rnacentral:rRNA from 1 species
GACGAACGCUGGCGGCGUGCAUAACACAUGCAAGUCAAGGGGGUCAGUAGCAAUACUGGCAACCGGCGAACGGGUGCGUAACACGUAAGCGACCUACCUCGAUGUGGGGCAUAGCCGGCCUAACGGCCGGGUAAUUCCGCAUAAGAUCCCGAUGAGGCAUCUCAUUGGGAUGAAACCAGUAAUGGGCGUCGAGAGGGGCUUGCGGCCUAUCAGCUAGUUGGUGAGGAACGGCUCACCAAGGCUACGACGGGUAGCUGGUCUGAGAGGAUGGCCAGCCACAUUGGGACUGAGAUACGGCCCAGACUCCUACGGGAGGCAGCAGUGGGGAAUCUUGCGCAAUGGCCUAACGGCUGACGCAGCGACG